rnacentral:rRNA from 1 species
AUUGAACGCUGGCGGCAGGCCUAACACAUGCAAGUCGAAUGGUAACAGGAAACAGCUUGCUGUUUCUCUGACGAGUGGCGGACGGGUGAGUAAUGUCUGGGAAACUGCCUGAUGGAGGGGGAUAACUACUGGAAACGGUAGCUAAUACCGCAUAACGUCGCAAGACCAAAGAGGGGGACCUUCGGGCCUCUUGCCAUCAGAUGUGCCCAGAUGGGAUUAGCUAGUAGGUGGGGUAACGGCUCACCUAGGCGACGAUCCCUAGCUGGUCUGAGAGGAUGACCAGCCACACUGGAACUGAGACACGGUCCAGACUCCUACGGGAGGCAGCAGUGGGGAAUAUUGCACAAUGGGCGCAAGCCUGAUGCAGCCAUGCCGCGUGUAUGAAGAAGGCCUUCGGGUUGUAAAGUACUUUCAGCGGGGAGGAAGGGAGUAAAGUUAAUACCUUUGCUCAUUGACGUUACCCGCAGAAGAAGCACCGGCUAACUCCGUA